rnacentral:sRNA from 1 species
GGGCACUAACUCAAGCUCCCCUGGAGCACAGUCACUUUACCACCACCUUCCUCCCCAAAUGCCAGUGUGGACAAGUUAUAUCCACAAGGCCUGCACACAGCAUCCUCAGGGAGAAAGCACAGUUGGCUGGGCCUUGAUUCACGAAGGUGUCCUGGUCCUGCCCCGCACCACGGUGAUGCCUCCUGGCACCGCCUCCUCAUAACCCUCGUGCUGUGUCGAUGCCACAGAUCCUGUUCCGGGCUAAAGACCUGGAUCCCGAGCCCAGGAGCCACAUCGUACGAGGGAACCACACGCAGUCGGCCCUGCUGGCAGGCCUCCGCAAGUUCGUGCUCUACGAGCUCCAGGUGCUGGCGUUCACUCGCAUCGGGAACGGGGUCCCCAGCACACCCCUCAUCCUGGAGCGCACCAAAGACGAUGCUCCAGGCCCACCAGUGAGGCUCGUGUUCCCCGAAGUGAGACUCACCUCCGUGCGGAUUGUGUGGCAACCUCCGGAGGAGCCCAACGGCAUCAUCCUGGGGUACCAGAUUGCCUACCGCCUGGCCAGCAGCAGCCCCCACACCUUCACCACCGUGGAGGUCGGCGCCACAGUGAGGCAGUUCACAGCCACCGACCUGGCCCCGGAGUCCGCAUACAUCUUCAGGCUGUCCGCCAAGACGAGACAGGGCUGGGGGGAGCCACUGGAGGCCACCGUCAUCACCACCGAGAAGAGAGAACGGCCGGCGCCCCCCAGAGAGCUCCUGGUGCCCCAGGCGGAAGUGACUGCACGCAGCCUCCAGCUCCAGUGGGUCCCAGGAAGUGACGGGGCCUCCCCCAUCCGGUACUUCACCGUGCAGGUGCGAGAGCUGCCCCGGGGCGAGUGGCAGACCUACUCCUCAUCCAUCAGCCAUGAGGCCACAGCCUGCGUCGUUGACAGACUGAGGCCCUUCACCUCCUACAAGCUGCGUCUGAAAGCCACCAAUGACAUUGGGGACAGCGACUUCAGUUCGGAGACAGAGGCAGUGACCACACUGCAGGAUGUUCCAGGAGAGCCACCAGGAUCUGUCUCAGCGACACCACACACCACGUCCUCUGUCCUGAUACAGUGGCAGCCUCCGAGGGACGAAAGCCUGAACGGCCUUCUUCAGGGAUACAGGAUCUACUACAGGGAGCUGGAGUAUGAAGCCGGGUCAGGCACCGAGGCCAAGACGCUCAAAAGCCCUAUAGCUUUACGUGCUGAGCUCACAGCCCAAAGCAGCUUCAAGACGGUGAACAGCAGCUCCACAUCGACAAUGUGUGAACUAACACAUUUAAAGAAGUACCGGCGCUAUGAAGUAAUAAUGACCGCCUAUAAUAUCAUCGGUGAGAGCCCAGCCAGUGCGCCCGUGGAGGUCUUUGUCGGCGAGGCUGCCCCGGCCAUGGCCCCUCAGAAUGUGCAGGUGACCCCGCUCACAGCCAGCCAGCUGGAGGUCACGUGGGACCCACCACCCCCGGAGAGCCAGAAUGGGAACAUCCAAGGCUACAAGAUUUACUACUGGGAGGCAGACAGCCAGAACGAAACAGAGAAAAUGAAGGUCCUCUUCCUCCCCGAGCCCAUGGUGAGGCUGAAGAACCUAACCAGCCAUACCAAGUACCUGGUCAGCAUAUCAGCCUUCAACGCUGCCGGAGAUGGGCCCAGGAGUGACCCCCAGCAGGGGCGCACCCACCAGGCCGCCCCUGGGGCCCCCAGCUUUCUGGCGUUCUCAGAAAUAACCUCCACCACACUCAACGUGUCCUGGGGCGAGCCUGCGGCGGCCAACGGCAUCCUGCAGGGCUAUCGGGUGGUGUACGAGCCCUUGGCCCCUGUGCAAGGGGUGAGCAAGGUGGUAACUGUGGAAGUGAGAGGGAACUGGCAGCGCUGGCUGAAGGUGCGGGACCUCACCAAGGGAGUGACCUAUUUCUUCCGUGUCCAAGCACGGACCAUCACCUACGGGCCCGAGCUCCAAGCCAAUAUCACAGCCGGGCCAGCCGAGGGAUCCCCGGGCUCGCCUAGAGAUGUCCUGGUCACCAAGUCCGCCUCUGAACUGACGCUGCAGUGGACUGAGGGACACUCUGGCGACACACCCACCACGGGCUAUGUGAUCGAGGCCCGGCCCUCAGAUGAAGGCUUAUGGGACAUGUUUGUGAAGGACAUCCCGCGGAGUGCCACAUCCUACACUCUCAGCCUGGAUAAGCUCCGGCAAGGAGUGACUUACGAGUUCCGGGUGGUGGCUGUGAACGAGGCGGGCUACGGGGAGCCCAGCAGCCCCUCCACAGCCGUGUCAGCUCAAGUGGAAGCCCCGUUCUACGAGGAGUGGUGGUUCCUCCUGGUGAUGGCCCUGUCCAGCCUGAUCGUCAUCCUGCUGGUGGUGUUCGCCCUCGUCCUGCACGGGCAGAAUAAGAAGUAUAAGAACUGCAGCACAGGAAAGGGGAUCUCCACCAUGGAGGAGUCGGUGACCCUGGACAAUGGAGGAUUUGCUGCCCUGGAGCUCAGCAGCCGCCACCUCAAUGUCAAGAGCACCUUCUCCAAGAAGAACGGGACUAGGUCCCCACCCCGGCCUAGCCCCGGCGGCCUGCACUACUCAGACGAGGACAUCUGCAACAAGUACAACGGCGCCGUGCUGACCGAGAGCGUGAGCCUCAAGGAGAAGUCGGCAGAUGCAUCAGAAUCCGAGGCCACCGACUCUGACUAUGAGGACGCGCUACCCAAGCACUCCUUCGUGAACCACUACAUGAGCGACCCCACCUACUACAACUCAUGGAAGCGCAGGGCCCAGGGCCGCGCACCUGGGCCGCACAGUGUAGCUAUCCUCCUGACGAGCAACCCGUCUGCGUACCUAAGUGUGGCUCCCCGUGGGUCAGCGUCCUGGUAGCAUGGAUCCAGUCUGAAAGGUGAGGACAACGUGGAAACUCAUGAGCUGAGCCCGCCCGCUGGGACACGUCUCCUUCCCACAUCACUUUCUGGUUUAGGGAGCCCUCAGGUCAGCCCUGAAGCAUUCCCUACAACUUUUUCUGAAAUUGUGCAGAAAAACAGAUCUCAUUUAAAAAAAAAGAAAAAAAUAAACAACUUGUAGGAAGACAGAGAGGUGCUAUGGGUACAAUUUUUAAUAAAAACAUUAUUUUGUUCCUUAAA